CACGUAGGGGGCGAGCGUUGUCCGGAUUUAUUGGGCGUAAAGAGCUCGUAGGCGGCUAAGUAAGUCGGGUGUGAAAUCUCGGAGCUUAACUCCGAAACUGCAUUCGAUACUGCCGUGCUUGAGGACUGGAGAGGAGACUGGAAUUUACGGUGUAGCAGUGAAAUGCGUAGAUAUCGUAAGGAAGACCAGUGGCGAAGGCGAGUCUCUGGACAGCAACUGACGCUGAGGCACGAAGGCCAGGGGAGCAAACGGG
rnacentral:rRNA from 1 species